rnacentral:lncRNA from 1 species
AACGUUAAUAUUUUGUCAAUUUGUCUCUUUUUUUUUUUAGCUAAAUUUAGCGCUCAACCUUUUAAAAAGAGUUGAAUUGCUUUUGUAAAUGGAAAUGAUCAUUAAAACAUUAAUUUCCUAACGAUGUUGGCAUGGUAAUUAAUGUGGCAGUUUAUGUAUAUUUCAUGUUGAUAUGAUAUUAUUUAUCUUGUUUGCCACGUCAACAAAUAAUUAUAAAAAAUUCAAAAAGAAUCAAAAUAAAUAUAUA